AGGCCGCCCGAGUUGGGUUACUUACAUUUUGUAGUAGCAGUCCCUUUUAUCAUCUUUUGUAUUUGAUGAUUUAAGAUGUUAAUGUGAAAAAUAAGGAAAGAAAAGAAUGUAAUGUUUAUUUUGAGCAAAUGUGAUGUAAAAAGAAAUGAUGCAAGCAAUGUAAAGAAUUAUGAAUGUACAAGUUGGUUAAAUGCAAUGUAUGUGAUCAAAAGAGAAUCAUAGUACUUGU
rnacentral:lncRNA from 1 species